GCAGGAGUGGUGGAAUUGGCAGACACGCUAGACUUAGGAUCUAGUGCCUUCGGCGUGUGGGUUCGACUCCCACCUUCUGUA
rnacentral:tRNA from 1 species